AUUCCACUGAUGUUUCCAAGGGCCUCUGACACACUAUACACCCCCCAGGUGUGUUACAUUUUAUUACAUGUUGUUCCCUAAUUAAGUUUUGAAUGCCUGUGGCAGUGUGUUACUGUUUCAGUGUUUUGAUAAUGUGAUUUGCUAGUUAUAUUUCUAAUUCUGAAGUUUAUAUAUUUUUUGGUGUAACUGUGAAGCUCAUAUACUAGUAUGUUUUGGUCUACAACAUAAAACCCAGCUUGUAUAGAGCUUUGAGAUGAAGCUUGUUAUUGAGCAAUUUCAAUAUUGGAAUUGAACAAAAAUGGCCAAUAAGGUUCAGCAAGAGAUCCCCAGCCGUGCAUUCAUUUAUCUAUUCAUUCUUUUUUUCCUCAAGAUGAUCCUUGAAAGAAUCACCUGGCCACACUGAAUGUGGCGGAAGAUGAUGAUGAUGAUGAUGAUGAUGAUGAUGAUGAUGAUGAUGACUGUUCUCUUCAGACUAAAUGCCGUAUCACAGGCUUCUUCAGGACAUUCAUUGAAACGCAUCACCAAGAGCGCUGAUUGAUCUCCUCAGAUUCUGGGUUGGAUGGGAGGUCCUCCCGAAGGAGCUGUCUGUUGAGGUCACAGAUACCAAACUGCCCAAAGCAUCCACCUGUUUCGAAACCAUUAAAUUACCCAGACACGACUUUCACUACUCAUCAUUUGAGGAGGAUCUUCUUUCCUGUAUACAUACUGUGGACACCGGCUUUGGACUUGUCUAAUUUAGAAUUCCGCCAUGAGAAAUCUGUUUGAACUCCUUCAGGGGCCAAUUAAAAUAUACAACAUAAUUGAUUUGACAACUAGAAAUAUAACAUGACAAAGUAAAAAAAAAAACAUCCAGGUUAAUGUUCUGCUAUAUUAUUAUUCUUAUUAUUAUUAUUAUUAUUAUUAUUUAUUUCUUAGCAGAUGCCAUUAUCCAGGGCGACUUACAGUUGUAAACAAAAAUACAUUUAAGGAAUCACAGUACAAGUAAUAAUACAAUUAUGUAAAUACUAAAUGUACUAAGAAAGAAAUUCAAAUGAACGACUGGCAAUUUUAUUAGGCCAUUUUAUUAUUUUGAUUACAAUAAAUAAUGCACUGAUUCUCAAAAUGUUUCUUUUUUUGGGGGGGGGGAACAACACUUUUUUUUUCUUUUAAAAUACUUGCUUAUGUUUGUGAAAACAUCUGUUAAAUAUCAACAUAAGCACAGGUACUAUUGUCAUUUAUUUAACAAAGUCAGUGCUAUGCAGACUCAGUGACAAAAAAUACAGCUGUCCCAAACAAUAAAAACAAUCGUCAAA